rnacentral:rRNA from 1 species
CCCUUAGAUGUUCUGGGCCGCACGCGUGCUACACUGAACGGUUCAAUGGGUAAGGUAGUGCGAAAGCAUGACCUAAUCUCGAAAUCCGUUCGUGCUGGGGAUAGAAGCUUGCAAUUAUCCUUCUUGAACGAGGAAUACCUUGUAAGCGUGAGUCAUCAUCUCACGCUGAAUACGUCCCUGCCCUUUGUACACACCGCCCGUCGCUCCUACCGAUUGAGUGUUCCGGUGAGGCUUUGGGAGAAUGGCCUCAACAUGAGUUUAUCGUGUUUUGCCGUUUGAACUUAGUCAAACCUUAUCACUUAGAGGAAGGUGAAGUCGUAACA